GAUUUCAAUUGAAAAAGUCAUCAACAUCAAACUUGUAUAACUCAUCAAUAUUUAUAACUUUUAUUUUGGUCAUUUUUUCAUCCGACAAAGUAGUAGUAACAUUGUUUACAAAAUUUACAUCUCUCUCAUAGUUUAUAAACUAUGUAACAGAUAUGUACAUUUUGUGAACAAUGUUACAAAUCUCUUUGUCGGAUGAAGAAAUGACCCAAAUAGAAGUUAUAGAUCUUAAUGAGUUAUACAACUUUGAUAUUGAUGACUUUUUCAGUUGAAAUC
rnacentral:pre_miRNA from 1 species